CCCUCGCCUUUUGAUAUCAUCGACGACGUCGCCCUGGUUUUUGUCCCCCUUGUUCGCAACCCCCUCCCACGCUAACCCCACUUCUUUCUUCCCCGCAUCGCGACGACGCUCUCCUCGCUGGCGCGCAAAAGCGAAUACCACCAAGAUUCCUCCUCCUCCUUCUUUCCCCCCUUGCCUCUCCUCUCCCCAAACCACCCUAGAUCCGAUCUAAUCUCUCGUUUCCUUCGGUGCUUAGUCGGAUGAACAUCCUUUCUCUCCAUGAUGCGAUGAUCUGUUCUCGACUACCUUGUUCUCUUGGUUUUUCUUGAUCUCGUUCUGUUUUGAUGUGAUGGGUUGUGCAGGGUCGAAGCUCGAGGAUUCGGAGGCGGUCGUGCUGUGCCGCGACCGCACUCUGCUGCUCGCCGAUGCCAUCCGCCACCGCUACGCUCUUGCGGAUGCGCACGCGGCAUACUGCCGCUCCCUCCGCUCCGUCGGCGCCGCCCUCCACAGCUUCCUCCACGGCGGCCACGGGGUCCCUUCAGGCUCCCCCAUCCUUCCCCUCCCCGCGCACCGCAAGGGAGACCCCCUCCCCCCUCUCUCCGCCUCCCCUCCCCCGGCCGCCAUCUCCGCCGCCGGCGGCCACUCCCACUCGCGCUCCCACUCCGGCUCCCACAUCCACUUCCGCUCCUCCGAGGAGAACUCCGAUGAAGACGAGGAUUUCCAUCUCCACUCGGACGGAUCGUCUCCGGUCCACCUCCACCCUGACGACGCGCCGGGCCCCACCCUCGUCAACGUCAGCUACGCCCGCAACCAUUCCUCCACCACCCCCUCCAUCUCCUACGAGCAGCGGCCGCAGAGCACCGAGGCCGUCCACUUCGGCUCCGCCGAGCCCCCCUCCUCUGCCUACCCUUACUAUGGCUACCCCUAUCCCCCUUCCACUCCAAACUUUUACCCUUACCCUGACUCUUAUCCGAGCUAUGGUGGGACGGGUGGCUUCUUUGGAUCUUCAUCUCCUCCUCCCAACAUUCCGCCACCCGCCGCCCCGGCAGGCAUGGCUUCUCCCUCCUCUUCUAAGGCGCCGCCGCCUCCCCCUUCGCCACCCAGGACCUCCACUUGGGACUUCCUCAACCCCUUCGAGGCCUACGAGGAUAAGUACUAUGCUCCCUAUACCCCCAGCCGGAGCUCGAGGGAUGUCAGAGAGGAGGAAGGGAUCCCCGAUCUAGAGGACGAGGAGCACGAGGUUGUCAAGGAAGCCUACGGUGACCAAAAGUCUGUGGCCUCCACCUCUGCUGCUGCUGCUGCGGGAGAAUACUCUUCUAAGGCUGCUGCUGCGGCGGCGAAAAUGGAUGGCAUCGGCGAUGUUGAGGCAGGUCUUCAUCGCACGUCGAAGUCAGGGGAGGGUAGCAGUGGUGGUAGUUCUGAGCAUGAGGUCCCUGUGGUGGAGAAGAAUGUAGUGGCCGACGAGGUUCAGCGGCCAGAGGAACAGCGAAAUGUGGCCGACUUUCCUCCUCCCAGGCGGUAUCAUGAUGUUUCCGAGGUUGUGCAGGAGAUUAAGACCCAGUUUGAUAGGGCGUCCCAGUCGGCCGAUGAGGUCUCCAAAAUGCUUGAAGUAGGAAAGCUCCCAUAUCACCAGAAGAAUUCUGUUUAUAAAGUGUCAGUCAUGAUGGUUUGUGGGCUUCCGCCGUCUACUUCUAACAAUGAGAGUUUAUUGGAAUUUGAAGAGGAUAAGGCAAUGCGCUGUGGAAAUCUUUCAUCGACGUUGCAGAAGUUGUACAUGUGGGAGCAGAAGCUCCUCAACGAAGUCGAGGCUGAAGAAAAGAUGCGAGCACUUUAUGAUAGGAAAUGCGAACAACUGAAACGCCUGAGUGAAAGGGGUGAGGAGCCUCACAAGCUUGAGGCAAUUCAAAUUUUGAUCAGGAAGUUAUCUACAAAGAUAAGAAUGGCGAUUCAGAUUGUUGACUCUAUCUCAAAUAAGAUCGGUAAGCUGAGGGAUGAUGAAUUGUGGCCUCAGAUUAGUGAGCUUAUCCAAGGGUUAAUGAGCAUGUGGAGAGUUAUGUUAGAAUGCCAUCAUAUUCAGUGUCAAGCUGUAUCAGAAGCUAAAAACCUAGAUUCUAUUGUAUCUAGUGGAAAGCUUAAUGAUGCUCAUAUGGAAGCAACCAAGCAGCUAGAGCUGGAGCUGCUGGAAUGGGUUGGCAAUUUCUUUGCCUGGGUUUGUGCCCAGAGAAGCUUCGUCAAAGCUUUGAACGGUUGGCUUGUAAAAGGUCUUCAUUAUGUGCCUGAAGUAACAGAUGAUGGAGUUCCACCCUUUUCUCCUGGAAGGCUAGGUGCGCCUCCUGUGUUUGUCAUCUGUAAUUGCUGGUCACAAACUAUGGAUAGGAUAUCUGAAGCAGAAGUAGUUGAGGCUAUGAAGGCUUUCUCCACUAAUGUUCUUCACCUCUGGGAACAGCACAAGCUUGAACAGCGCCAGAGCUUGAUGGCAAACAGAGAUAUGGAUAGGUCACUUAGGAACAUGGAAAGGGAUGAACAGCGAAUGCACAAGGCAGUGGAAGCGCAAAACAAGAAGUUAAUUCUCAUCUCCAGUCAGAAUGGUGUAGCCUUAUCUGGAGGAAUGCAUCAGGGCCCAGCUUCUGAAGUUAGUAAUCUGCAGUUAAGUUUGAAACAAAUCUUUGAAGCUAUGAAAAAUUUUACAUCUAGCUCCAUGAAAGCAUAUGAGGAACUCAACUUGCGUUCUGAGGAAGAGAAACAAAGGUUGGCUAGAGAGAAUGUUAAAGUUUCAUAGGUUCAUGCAAGACUUGUGGUCAAAUUUCAUUAUUGUGCAUCCAGUCUGUAACUCUGUUUCCAUGGUGAAUACAACCAAUUAUGUGAGGGAAGUGUUUGAAAGGAACACUAACGGAUGCCUGCUAAGGUAUGGAAUCCCGCAGGUGGAGCUAAUUGGCCUCUAAAUCUCUUGUCCACUAAGGUGAGGGGGAACAUCUUUUUGAUGAUGCCUGCUAUCCAAUUCAAAGAGCUAGUGAUGGCUAAUAUUGUCUUUGGUGAUAAAAGCCAUUUUGUCAGCAACGAUGCAAAGCUUCUUUGUAACUAUUUUAGUGCAUCAUGAAGCUAUUUCUUGGUCCUUGUACCAUUAGGUGUGGAAUGCACCACAUCAUGAAUCAAGCUUAUGCCAGUGCAUCAUGGUGACUGGCUUCUGACAUGAAAUGCCACCAUCGAGCAACUGUUUUCACCAAAAUUGCAAAUGCCAAUCUGCUACAUUGGUAGAGAACUGGGAAGAAUGAAGCAACGAGGUAAGAGCCAAAGACAAUUUUCAGAUUCUGGUAUAGUGGGUAAAGAGGAGGUGAAGAAAAUUUAGAGAGGAUUCUCUUUGAUGAUAUCAUAUUGCUGGCGUCUUAUUGUCAGGGAUUCUUGAUACCAGAUAUAAAUUAAAUAACUGUUUGCUGCUGCCCGCAAGCAAUCAACCAUUUUAUUGAUCUCAAAAGUUAGUUCUGCCUGCUGUUGCAUUGGAGGUCUGUCUCUGGAUUGAGAAUCUGGAUUUUUUUGUUUGUUUGUUGAGCAACUGAUAAAGAGAGCAUAUAUCAUCUGUCCAUGAGCAUGUACAGAUAUUUGAUAAUCAGUAUCAGCCUUGGGAAAUGGCUUCUGCCUGAGACCAAUGAGCCACUCGUAGACAUUGAUCCAAACAUAAGUUCUUGUACUGCCGCAUUUGGAGGUCUAUUGCUGGAUUGAGGAUCUAGUAAUUUCAUUGUGAAACAAGGCAGAAGAAGUCAUAUCAGCAAUCAUGUGCACUCGUAGAUAUUUGCAGGUCGGUAUCAGGCUUGGUAAAUGGUUGGUAUACAGCAUGUAGAGAAUGAACUCAAGUAUGUCUAAAAUGCGGUCAAGCAGCGAAUGCAAUUGUGGAGCACGUUGGAUGAAUUGGCUGACUAGGAGGUUCACUGAUAAGAGUGGCUGCCUGCUCUUAUUGUUACUUGAAAGGUGAAAUCCACUUCAUCAGGAGAGAGACUAAACCAGUUGGAUGCUUAUUUUUUGUAGAAUAGAUCUGAAAUAUCCAAUAUGUUGAGGAGAAGGGCAAGGCGACUGAUUUGAGGCCACUCUUCAGUUGACAUGUUGAUCCUAGAUGCUCUCAAAAGAAUGACUCAUUCCCAUUUUAACAAAAUGGCUGUUCCUGCACCCCGUCUCGGUAUGACAACUGCGAGAAGAAAAGAAAAUAAGUGGAAGUCCCAUCAGGUGGCAGUGUGAUGUAACCCAGCGCAAGAAGAGCACGAUCAGAUUAUUCUCGAGGAAAUCUUUUCCUCCUCAUCCGUGAUUCUUGUCCAGAAAGAGUGGUCAGCCUUGAUGCUGAUCCUGCCCUGGCACCUGUAGUUCUUUUUGGCUAAUCCUCUUUUGUUUCUUUUCUUCCAUUUUCUUUUUUUUUUGUUUUCUUGAAGGAGGGCUGUCGAUGGACAACACCCAUGCAUGCUAUUUCUUCUCGAGUGUAAUCUACGGCGCAGGGCAGCUUAGGAUCAUCCUGCUUGCUUGUCUAUGCUUCCUGCCAAAGAAAAAUUAUACCUGAAAUACAUUUGUCGGAUGGUCGCAUGUUUGAAGAAGGCUGGAAGCGGUGGGUCUUGAAUGCUUAGAAAAAAAAAUUCUGGUUUUUAUGUUUCUAUCCAGAUUUGAAGCCUGUCCGCUUUAUUGCCCACCGAGCAAUUUCUAAGCAUCCAAGCAAAUGGUCAUGCACGUCGAAGGCAUAUUACUUGAUUAGAACUGUGGUUCUGUCAUGGAAUUCAUUCGAAACUAAUUCACUAGUUUAUUCAGGAAUGAUGUUAGGUAACAGAUUAUUCUAAGUAUAUCCUUCGAGAAAAUCUCAAUUCCAGAAAAAAAUCAUUCCUCAUAAAUUAAUCAGGAUGCUUUGAGAUUGAUGUACCAAGUGAUGAAGCUAAUGCAUAGUUUGCCUCCUGCGUGCACCGAGAUCCACAUGCAUACGUGUAUUGAGCACCUCACUCGCCAGUGGCAGAACCUGCUCCAGAGCCGAACUCACAGCAAUCAAUCAGAUUUUGGUAAUGGCCGACUGCAGGGAGAAUAAUCUAGUGGAUCAAGUAAAAAAACAUGAGAUAGACUUGAUAUCUGAGAUUGAGCAAGAAUUCUCUAUUCAUUUGACCAUUGUGGUUGACUCAUUUUAAGUGUUUCACGAAGUCUGGGCGAUGAAAUAUAACUUUCCUAGGUUUAAGAAGGAUUAGUUUACUUCUCUGAAUCUCUAAUGUCAUUCCUUCUUUCCAAUUGUAUACGAGCAACAAUGGCUGAAUGUUGGAUACGAGCAUACCGGGAGAUUUUAUCCUCUAAGAUAAUAGUGUAAGAGCCACUUACUUAAUCUCACGUAUGUCACAUUAUUCUAAGCAUCAUUCUAAAUGCCGCUACUGCAGCUAUAGCGCCGUAUAUACCUGCUAAGAACCACAAAGUUUCCGGGAAUUAAGCUCACAAAGACUCAGAGAGUUUUAUACUACAUUAUAUACUGAGAUGAUAUUUCAGAUCGAGAAUACUAAUCCUUGAUGCUAAUUUGCUUAUGCUUCUCCACAUAGUUCAUAUAAUUUGCCCGCUGUGUACUCAGGACGAAGCAAGCAACCGUGAUAAGCAAUGAUCUUUGAGAACAAUUCAAGCUGUCUGCUCACUGGCCAAAAGCAUUUUUUGGCAGCAGCUGCCCUGGCCAAACUGAAGAUGAGUUGCCAAAGACAGGUUUAAUUGGAUUAAACUUUAACGAAGGCAAAAGAGUAGCAGAACAGGUCGGCAAUCAGUCUAGCAUGCAAUGAAAUUAACCGUUUGUGAUCAGUGAGGGUUCAGGACUAAGUGCAUCAUAGACAAGUUUCUCUGAUUACAUCAGUACAUUUGAUUUGCUCUUGGCAAUACCUUUCUGCUCUAAUGUGUUAUGAAUAUAAAUUACAACAGAAAAAAAAAA